rnacentral:lncRNA from 1 species
GUUUACUUCCGGUUUACUGGUUUACUAUUUUGGAAUACAUUACAAGGAAAUUAAUCGAAGGACCAGUUUAAAAUCUUUUCACAAAAUGGCGUCUUGUCAAAAUCAAAACAUUCAAAGAAUUUAGUGUUUCCAUCGAUUUUGUUUAUUAAACAGAGUGAAACGAUAACGAUCUAUAAUAAAUCAGGUGAAAUUGACAAUCGGGG